rnacentral:rRNA from 1 species
GACGAACGCUGGCGGCGUGCUUAACACAUGCAAGUCGAACGGAAAGGCCCUGCUUUUGUGGGGUGCUCGAGUGGCGAACGGGUGAGUAACACGUGAGUAACCUGCCCUUGACUUUGGGAUAACUUCAGGAAACUGGGGCUAAUACCGGAUAGGAGCUCCUGCUGCAUGGUGGGGGUUGGAAAGUUUCGGCGGUUGGGGAUGGACUCGCGGCUUAUCAGCUUGUUGGUGGGGUAGUGGCUUACCAAGGCUUUGACGGGUAGCCGGCCUGAGAGGGUGUCCGGCCACAUUGGGACUGAGAUACGGCCCAGACUCCUACGGGAGGCAGCAGUGGGGAAUAUUGCACAAUGGGCGGAAGCCUGAUGCAGCAACGUCGCGUGCGGGAUGACGGCCUUCGGGUUGUAAACCGCUUUCGCCUGUGACGAAGCGUGAGUGACGGUAAUGGGUAAAGAAGCACCGGCUAACUACGUG